GACGAACGCUGGCGGCGUGCCUAAUACAUGCAAGUUGAGCGCUGAAGGUUGGUACUUGUACCAACUGGAUGAGCAGCGAACGGGUGAGUAACGCGUGGGGAAUCUGCCUUUGAGCGGGGGACAACAUCUGGAAACGAAUGCUAAUACCGCAUAAAAACUUUAAACACAAGUUUUAAGAUUGAAAGAUGCAAUUGCAUCACCUAAUGAUUAUCCCGCGUUGUAUUAGCUAGUUGGUGAGGUAAAGGCCCACCAAGGCGAUGAUACAUAGCCGACCUGAGAGGGUGAUCGGCCACAUUGGGACUGAGACACGGCCCAAACUCCUACGGGAGGCAGCAGUAGGGAAUCUUCGGCAAUGGACGAAAGGCUGACCGAGCAACGCCGCGUGGGUGAAGAAGGUUUUCGGAUCGUAAAACUCUGUUGGUAGAGAAGAACGUUGGUGAGACUGGAAAGCUCAUCAAGUGACGGUAACUACCCAGAAAGGGACGGCUAACUACGUG
rnacentral:rRNA from 1 species